AGGGGGCGCGAGGCGGGCGGGCCGUGAGCAGCUGUCCGCUUCCGCCCCCAACCCUCCAUCUUGCAUUUGAUCCCUGAUUCUAACAGCCGUAAUCAGGACCACUCUUAGUCAGCUUGGCUGACAUCAUCUGGUCCAGACUCCGGAGGUAACUGUAUUAUCAUCUCCAUUUCACAGAUGAGGAAACAGUCCUAAAGAGGUUAAUUCAUUUGGCCAGGGUCUCACAGGUCCCUGCGCAGAUUGGAACCCAGGUUGUUUCCUCCAUGGUCUGUGUAUUUUCUGUUCAAGCAAAUUCCUGGGUGCACAGAAGAUUCUCACAGACCCAAGGCUCCUGACCUGCAGGCUCAGCGUAGCUCGGUCGUAUUCAAACACCCGGAUGCCUGGAUUGUUGGCGCCGUUGACCACUCCAGGUACUCCUCAUUGAAGCCCUCCCGAAACCACGCUUUGUUCCGUGUCUUCUCAAAGAAGCCCGGGGGCACGUGGCCGAUGAUGUACACCUAUGAAGAAGGGGUACCCAGCGGGGGUUCAGAGCUGCUUUCCCCAGCUCAUCUCCACCUCUCACAGUCUGCCCAUCUCCCCAAAAGCAAACAACAGGCUCCAAGGGAGAACACUGACUGUCCAGGGGCUGGCCCACCUGGAGCGUGGCAGAGCCUGAAUUGGGACCCGAAUCAGUUUGCCUUGCACACCCAUGUUCACCAUCGGCCACAGUGGAGAGGCAGGGGCCAGUGUUCACAGAAACUCUGAUGAGGAACCCAGGUGCGCGUGACAAGAAGAACUCACGACAUGGAACCAAAAUCUCAAAUUUCAGCCUCUUCCUCCUCUCCUACUGGUUGCUUCAGCUUAUUUAUCUUUAUAACAGGGAGUGUUCUGCUUGACCCAUCUUGCUACCAUGCUCAAGAUAAGGCCUUGUUUCACCUCUUCCAAUUUGUUCUCGUUUUAACAUCUCUACAAGUGGGUCGUGUCUUACCACUGAGGCCAAGAGAGAGCACUGUGUCAUACUUUAGGACAGCGUUUUUUUUUCUUAGCGAUACAUAAAACCAUGAAACAUCUUACAGUCAAUGGA